UAAAUUGAAGCCAAGUGUUUAGGUGCUUAGCUGUUAACUAAGAGUAAAGGAUAAAUACCCUCUAAUUUAG
rnacentral:tRNA from 1 species